rnacentral:rRNA from 1 species
UAGGGAAUCUUCCGCAAUGGACGCAAGUCUGACGGAGCAACGCCGCGUGAGUGAAGAAGGAUUUCGGUUCGUAAAGCUCUGUUGUUAGAGAAGAACAGCGCAUAGAGUAACUGUUAUGCGUGUGACGGUAUCUAACCAGAAAGCCACGGCUAACUACGUGCCAGCAGCCGCGGUAAUACGUAGGUGGCAAGCGUUGUCCGGAUUUAUUGGGCGUAAAGCGAGCGCAGGCGGUCAAUUAAGUCUGAUGUGAAAGCCCCCGGCUCAACCGGGGAGGGUCAUUGGAAACUGGUUGACUUGAGUGCAGAAGAGGAGAGUGGAAUUCCAUGUGUAGCGGUGAAAUGCGUAGAUAUAUGGAGGAACACCAGUGGCGAAGGCGACUCUCUGGUCUGUAACUGACGCGGAGGCUCGAAAGCGUGGGUAGCAAACAGG